GGGGAUAUAGCACAACCUGGUUAGUGUAAUCGGCUCCAGACCGAUUGAUUGGGGUUCAAAUCCUCAUAUCCCCA
rnacentral:tRNA from 1 species